GAUGUGAAAUCCCCGGGCUCAACCUGGGAACUGCAUUUGAGACUGGAAAGCUGGAGUGCGGUAGAGGGGGAUGGAAUUCCCCGUGUAGCAGUGAAAUGCGUAGAUAUGGGGAGGAACACCCAUGGCGAAGGCGAUCUCCUGGACCGGCACUGACGCUGAUGCGCGAAAGCGUGGGGAGCAAACAGGAUUAGAUACCCUGGUAGUCCACGCCCUAAACGAUGAGAGCUGGGUGUUGGGGGCUUAUUUGACCUCUGUGCCGAAGCUAACGCGAUAAUGACCCCCCCUGGAGAGUACGGUCGCAGGACUGAAACUCAAAAGAAUUGACGGAGGCCCGCACAAGCUGGAGAAUGUGUUGUAUUUCUCUGCGCAACGCAAAAAACCAU
rnacentral:rRNA from 1 species